rnacentral:snoRNA from 1 species
AUUUUAAUGAUGAAAAGAUGACGAGUAUGAAAAAAUGAAGAUUAUUUAUUAUUAUUUUUAAAAACAUGUUUUAUGUAUUUAAUAAUAGUUAGUAAAUGUAUUCUUCAUUUUUCAAGCAUGAUUAUGUGAGGCAUUUGUCUGAAAAA